CCGUCAAUUCAUUUAAGUUUCAUUCUUGCGAACGUACUCCCCAGGCGGGAUACUUAACGCGUUAGCUACAGCAUUGCACGGGUCGAUACGCACAGCGCCUAGUAUCCAUCGUUUACGGCUAGGACUACUGGGGUAUCUAAUCCCAUUCGCUCCCCUAGCUUUCGUCUCUCAGUGUCAGUGUCGGCCCAGCAGAGUGCUUUCGCCGUUGGUGUUCUUUCCGAUCUCUACGCAUUUCACCGCUCCACCGGAAAUUCCACGCACCUCUCCCAUACUCCAGCACCACAGUUUCGCCUGCAGGCUCCGAGUUAAGCCCGGAGAUUUCACAGGUGACUUGUGGCACCGCCUACGCACCCUUUACGCCCAAUAAUUCCGAACAACGCUCGCACCCUCUGUAUUACCG
rnacentral:misc_RNA from 1 species